CGUAUCACCCAAGACAACUUUACGGAGUUGACGAUUGACGGAGCGAAGCGACGUCAAAGCGUUCAUUAAAGUCGAGUUGGCUUAGGGAUACGUUCGUUGGGUAGGGGAGCGUUCUGUAAGCCUGUGAAGGUGUGUCGUGAGGCAUGCUGGAGGUAUCAGAAGUGCGAAUGCUGACAUAAGUAACGAUAAAGCGGGUGAAAAGCCCGCUCGCCGGAAGACCAAGGGUUCCUGUCCAACGUUAAUCGGGGCAGGGUGAGUCGACCCCUAAGGCGAGGCCGAAAGGCGUAGUCGAUGGGAAACGGGUUAAUAUUCCCGUACUUGGUGUUACUGCGAAGGGGGGACGGAGAAGGCUAUGUUGGCCGGGCGACGGUUGUCCCGGUUUAAGCGUGUAGGUGUGUGUUCCAGGUAAAUCCGGUUCACUUUAACACUGAGGCGUGACGACGAGGCACUACGGUGCUGAAGCAACAAAUGCCCUGCUUCCAGGAAAAGCCUCUAAGCAUCAGGUAACACGAAAUCGUACCCCAAACCGACACAGGUGGUCAGGUAGAGAAUACCAAGGCGCUUGAGAGAACUCGGGUGAAGGAACUAGGCAAAAUGGUGCCGUAACUUCGGGAGAAGGCACGCUGACACGUAGGUGAAGUGAUUUACUCAUGGAGCUGAAGUCAGUCGAAGAUACCAGCUGGCUGCAACUGUUUAUUAAAAACACAGCACUGUGCAAACACGAAAGUGGACGUAUACGGUGUGACGCCUGCCCGGUGCCGGAAGGUUAAUUGAUGGGGUCAGCGUAAGCGAAGCUCCUGAUCGAAGCCCCGGUAAACGGCGGCCGUAACUAUAACGGUCCUAAGGUAGCGAAAUUCCUUGUCGGGUAAGUUCCGACCUGCACGAAUGGCGUAAUGAUGGCCAGGCUGUCUCCACCCGAGACUCAGUGAAAUUGAACUCGCUGUGAAGAUGCAGUGUACCCGCGGCAAGACGGAAAGACCCCGUGAACCUUUACUAUAGCUUGACACUGAACAUUGAGCCUUGAUGUGUAGGAUAGGUGGGAGGCUUUGAAGUGUGGACGCCAGUCUGCAUGGAGCCGACCUUGAAAUACCACCCUUUAAUGUUUGAUGUUCUAACGUGGACCCGUAAUCCGGGUUGCGGACAGUGUCUGGUGGGUAGUUUGACUGGGGCGGUCUCCUCCUAAAGAGUAACGGAGGAGCACGAAGGUUGGCUAAUCCUGGUCGGACAUCAGGAGGUUAGUGCAAUGGCAUAAGCCAGCUUGACUGCGAGCGUGACGGCGCGAGCAGGUGCGAAAGCAGGUCAUAGUGAUCCGGUGGUUCUGAAUGGAAGGGCCAUCGCUCAACGGAUAAAAGGUACUCCGGGGAUAACAGGCUGAUACCGCCCAAGAGUUCAUAUCGACGGCGGUGUUUGGCACCUCGAUGUCGGCUCAUCACAUCCUGGGGCUGAAGUAGGUCCCAAGGGUAUGGCUGUUCGCCAUUUAAAGUGGUACGCGAGCUGGGUUUAGAACGUCGUGAGACAGUUCGGUCCCUAUCUGCCGUGGGCGCUGGAGAACUGAGGGGGGCUGCUCCUAGUACGAGAGGACCGGAGUGGACGCAUCACUGGUGUUCGGGUUGUCAUGCCAAUGGCACUGCCCGGUAGCUAAAUGCGGAAGAGAUAAGUGCUGAAAGCAUCUAAGCACGAAACUUGCCCCGAGAUGAGUUCUCCCUGAGACUUAGAG
rnacentral:rRNA from 1 species